AUACGGAGGGUGCAAGCGUUAAUCGGAUUUACUGGGCGUAAAGCGUGCGUAGGCGGCUUGUUAAGUCAGAUGUGAAAGCCCCGGGCUCAACUUGGGAACUGCAUUUGAUACUGACAGGCUAGAGUAUGGUAGAGGGAAGUGGAAUUCCGCAUGUAGCGGUGAAAUGCGUAGAUAUGCGGAGGAACACCUGUGGCGAAGGCGACUUCCUGGACCAAUACUGACGCUGAGGUACGAAAGCGUGGGGAGCAAACAGGAUUAGAAACCCUGGUAGUCC
rnacentral:rRNA from 1 species